rnacentral:tRNA from 1 species
GCUUUCAUAGCUCAGUUGGUUAGAGCACCCGUUUAAUAAGUGAGAGGUCAUGAGUUAACCUCUCAUUGAAAGCA